GACGAACGCUGGCGGCGUGCUUAACACAUGCAAGUCGAACGGUGAAGCGCCUUCCUUUUUGGUGGGUGUGGAUGAGUGGCGAACGGGUGAGUAACACGUGAGUAACCUGCCCCCUUCUUCUGGAUAACCGCAUGAAAGUGUGGCUAAUACGGGAUAUUCUGGGUCUGUCGCAUGAUGGGUCUGGGAAAGAUAUUGUUUCGGUGGGGGAUGGGCUCGCGGCCUAUCAGCUUGUUGGUGGGGUGAUGGCCUACCAAGGCGGUGACGGGUAGCCGGCCUGGGAGGGUGGACGGUCACACUGGGACUGAGGCACGGCCCAGCCUCCUACGGGAGGCAGCAGUGGGGAAUAUUGCACAAUGGGCGCAAGCCUGAUGCAGCGACGCCGCGUGAGGGAUGGAGGCCUUCGGGUUGUGAACCUCUUUCGCCAGUGAAGCAGGCCUGCCUCGUUUGUGGGUGGGUUGACGGUAGCUGGAUAAGAAGCGCCGGCUAACUACGUG
rnacentral:rRNA from 1 species